UACGUAGGUGGCGAGCGUUGUCCGGAUUUACUGGGCGUAAAGAGCGCGCAGGCGGCUGGUCAAGUCCGAUGUGAAAGCUCCCGGCUUAACUGGGAAAUUGCAUCGGAAACUGAUCGGCUGGAAGGUGGGAGAGGGUAGCGGAAUUCCCGGUGUAGUGGUGAAAUGCGUAGAUAUCGGGGAGAACACCGGUGGCGAAAGCGGCCUCCUG
rnacentral:rRNA from 1 species